UGGACAGAUUAUUGUAUUCGACUGUAUUCACGGCGUGAAACAGGGGAUUGCACUGUUUUUAAAUGGAAAAUGAAUCAAUUAACAUAAUAGACUCCU
rfam:Nicotiana attenuata strain TT chromosome 10, whole genome shotgun sequence.